rnacentral:piRNA from 1 species
UAUGAUUUCAUCAGAUGGUUC